rnacentral:lncRNA from 1 species
CUUAAAAUGACCAUUAAACUUUCCUUUGGUUUUUGGUGUGUGAAAGGAGUUUUGAUUAGUAUUAAGUUCAAUGACUUUAUCUUGGUUUUUUGCUUUCUCUUCUACUCUUAGAGAGUGAUCAGAGUAUCAAUGGAAAGUUAUUGCAGUAGACUGUAGAAUUUUCCUGGGAUCGUAUUAAACAUUGCACCCGCUGGAAAGAAUCUCUAGAUCCGCCCCUGCCAUUGUCACCGCCACUCAAGUUCUGCUUCAAUGAAUUUCUUUCUAUAAUUGAUUUAUUUUACAGGUUGUUUGCUUUAAAUUUGAAGCUUUUUAGAACGUGGGUUUUGAUUGAACUUCUUACAUUUCUUUCUAUUUUACUCAUUGAUUGCUACUUUAUCCUCCAUCCUUGCUGCAUGUAGCUGAACUAAAUUUUAUGUCCCUUAUUUUUUCUUUUGCAAGAAAAUUGCUUUAGGUAACACGACCAUUUAUAUGAUCAUAAUCAACACAGAGCACACAAAGUUUAGAAGAACGUAGUUGAGCUGGAAAUUUGAAGAACAAUUACUAAGAAAUAUAUUUUUGUGCCUAUUUGCGUUUAUAGGUCAGCAAAUGCCACGUUCGGAGGUUUUUAUUGCUUGCUCUGCUGUCCAUUUGGCUUUU